UACGGGGGGAGCAAGCGUUGUUCGGAUUUACUGGGCGUAAAGGGCGCGUAGGCGGUCGUGACAAGUCACUUGUGAAAUCUCCGGGCUUAACUCGGAACGGUCAAGUGAUACUGUCGGACUAGAGUACAGAAGGGGCAACUGGAAUUCUCGGUGUAGCGGUGAAAUGCGUAGAUAUUAGGAAGAACACCAGUGGCGAAGGCGGCUUACUGGUCCGGAACUGACGCUGAGGUGCGAAAGCGUGGGGAGCAAACAGG
rnacentral:rRNA from 1 species